CCGGAACCCCGAGGAUGAGGUGUCUGCAGUGACCCAGAGAGAGAGAGAGUGCAGAUGCAGGCUCUCGUGGGACCUUUGCUUCCAUGCUGCUUCCCCUUGCCAUGCUGGUGGCAGCCAACCUGGCAGGACUGUCAGAUGCUCACCCUGAAAGACAGAAGCCUUUGCGCAACUUCCUGUGGUACUUCUUGCCUGCUGGCUUCCACCCUGCCUUGCCUUCUCAGAGACAAGAUAAUGCUUCCGGGUCAGAGAACCAAGUUUCUACAUAUGUGAAAUGAGAAGAGUCUACUUCCUGGGGUUGUCACGAGCCCUGCCAUGUUUCGAGAGAACUAGAAUAGUGUCCAGCACUGCAGAGACUCACAACAAAGGCCUUCCUUCCCUCUUGCCUUGCUGAUUCCACCGGAGGGCUACACUGAGUCUCCA
rnacentral:lncRNA from 1 species